rnacentral:rRNA from 1 species
CGGGAUAACAACCUGGAAACAGAUGCUAAUACCGGAUAACAACAGAUGAUGCCUAUCAACUGUUUAAAAGAUGGUUCUGCUAUCACUCUUGGAUGGACCUGCGGUGCAUUAGCUAGUUGGUAGGGUAACGGCCUACCAAGGCGAUGAUGCAUAGCCGAGUUGAGAGACUGAUCGGCCACAUUGGGACUGAGACACGGCCCAAACUCCUACGGGAGGCAGCAGNG